ensembl:lncRNA
UUCCGAGACUGACCAUCCCCACCUCCCACCCAAAAAAAAUAAUCUCUUUGAGAUAGUGCAACCCCCACUCCACAGCCCCCCACCACCAGCCAAGAGCACAGCCCACCCCCCAGGGCAGGCUCUGCUCUUGGCUGUUCACCACACAGCUCCAAAACAAAAAACACACACACCAAAGGCCACCAGAAGACAACAGAGACCGCCACACCAGCCUGCCACUGUACUGCCAACAACCAAAUAAAGCCAGACAGCUCCCAAGAAAAACCACCACCAAACCCAACAACCAGCACACCACAAAGCCAACUCCACCUUCCACAACGAAACCACCCAAGCCACUUUCUACCACCAGCCUCCUAACCAAAAAAAAAAAAAAAGACAAGCCCCACCACAAGACCGCCAGCAAACAAGCCUGCCACAGCACCAACACAAACCUCUGACGCACCAAAGCCAGCCGGCCACCUAAGCAAACACAAACAGAGCCAAGACAGCACAACACCCCAGGCCUACCUGCUGGCUCUGCUCCUCCUCAUCGCAGCUCCCAGGAUCUCCAUCUUCCAUGCAGGAAAACAGCCACACCAGGACCCUUAACUCCACUCCUCCGGGACAGGACCUGCCACGCACCUUCCACCCUGUAAAAAAAGCACAUCAUCACCCACACAGCCACUGCCUCCGGCCCCGGGGCACCACCCACCUCACAGGUAACAUGCAGCUCACCUUGCUCCACAGGGGCGCCCCGCUCACACCGCCAGGAUCCUGCCUCCAGCCUGAACCUGCGCAGAGACCUCCAUCAACCACCUCCAAGGGGGCGCUCCUGGGGGCAGCCCUCCACCACGAGGGCUCCCGCCUGGGGCUCCCCCUCUCUCACCUCCUUCAUCCCACCCCUGGGAAAACUGCACACCUGCUCCAGCCAAUCCUCUCUGCAGCCUUCACCCUGCAACAAGAGCACAGAUCACACAGCCAGACAGAAUGCCAAGGCCCCACUGCAAAGCGCCCGCACGCAACUGGAACGGGGCCCGGGGAACCGGACUCCGCUACCUCCCCAGGCACUCCUCUCCCAUCCCGCUCACAGGGAAAUCAUUCUUCUUCCUCUUGAAUGAGAAAUUCUGGUGAUACCAAACAUGCACACUGCCCCCCUACUGCCACACGCCACUCAUCCCCGUCAACUGGGCUCCUGCACAGCAGGCAUUGCUAUCUGCCACCCUCCUCUCCUCUAACUGCACAAUCAAGACAAUGCACAAAGCUACCUUUUGGUCCGGCAUGACUUCCCCUCUGUCCAUCCACCUGGACUGCUCCUUGCAAAUACCUUCUCCUCCAGUCACAUGGCAAUGACACCUGCAACAAGCUGUUGCGUCACCUCCCCAGAAACAGACAUGAGGCCAACCUACCUCCAAGUUGCACACGCCAUCCUCCACACCCUUUCUGAAGGCUGCGGUGGCAUCCGCCAUCCUCCAGUCUUCAGGUACCUUUCCCACAGGAAACAGCAGGGAAAAGUGACAGAGCUAUUGCCAGUCACCGCUGCCAGCUCUCAGCAGGCACAGGCAUAGCCCUCUACAGCUCAGGCAUUUGCUGGCCUCCUUUCUGCCUGAACUACCUUUGACCAGCUCCUCCGCAACUGAGGGGAAGACAUCCUUCCUCAGGGACUCUCUCCUCCAGGACCCCAGGUUCCCCAGGAGCACUCUCAGCAGAAACCACUGAACCCAAGAGGCCUCCGCCUCAGGCCUCAUUACUCAGGCCUCCGCCUUGUAAAGCGCAGGCCUGCAAUUUCUCCAGUCUCUCCUGUUGACAAACUUCCAUUAGCCUUGACCUCCCUCCCAAAGCUGAUACUCAGAGGGACUUGGCCUUCCUCAGCCUCUCUCUUCCUUCUCCCCAUCAAGUUCCUCAGUCAGCCCUGCAGGUCCCCCACCAUUCCUGCGCAGUUCCUUCCUCCUUGGGACACAGCGCACCUCAGCAUGGACGAAGUAAUGCUCCAGCAUUCACGGGACCCCUUCCUAUGCUUGAGCAAGGGUUACCUCCAAGUAGGCCCUUCAAGAGGACAAACCUGGCUCCCUCUAAGUCCAGUGUUUCAAUCCUACUCAUUGCUUUGCAGCUUCCACACAAGAUCCCAAACGCUGUGGUCUCACGACUGGCACGCUCCAGGCUGCCCCUGGCCUUCCUGUCCCCAAAUGGCUCUUCUGCAAUAGGGAGCUCCAGCAGCCCCUCUCCUCAAUGCCUCCUUCAUCACCUGUGACAGAAAAUCUUACCUUUGACACAUUGCAGGAAACUCCUGGAGCCUACCAUGAGAACUGGCCUCACAGCUGUGGGCACCAUUUCCAGCUGUGUGCAGAAGGUCUAUCAGCUUCCUCACCCUGGUCUGUGACCAACACCACCACUCAGGUCACCCACUUUUACCUGCCUCUUCAGCCUCACGCACAAACGCUCCGCUGGUUCUUCAUUCACCCCUAGGUGGAGCUCGAUACGUUCCCGUUCUCUCCCUCGAAGAGAGACUCCACCGUCUGGCCGGUCUGUCUUUCCUAAAAGGAACACAGCCAUCCACGACAGCACUCCAGUCGUGCGAGCUGCCCUGCCAGGUCUCCACGGUGGGAACCUAAAUCGUGCUCCUGCAGUUACACGGGAAGGAAGAGGCGGGGAAAAAAAAAUAAAACCACGGUCCCAACCUGCUCGCUCCCACCGCUGGAAACGGGAUGGGUGAGAGCACCCGCAAAACACUCCGCAGUGGCCGAGGCCACCCCGGGAUCGUGCUCGGUCUCGGGCGGAGGCCCCGUGCCGGUCCUACUAAAAAAGCCACACGGGAGCCCAGCGGCGGCGCCGUGCCGAUCCCAAAGACAGAGGCAGUCGAGCAGCAACCCUACAGGAGCCCUAGCACGAGAGAUCUUACCGAGCGACUCUCAAACACUCACCGCUUCCACGAGCUCACUGCUUCGGGCCGAUGAGAGGCUCUGCUACAGCUCUCGCUCAGCCUGCAACACGAGAAACCUUUUGUUUCAGCAGCCCUUCGCCUCGCUUCUCUCUCCCGGCAGCACCGAGGCUGCACGAAUACGGCCCCAUCGCGUUCGCUCCUACGGAAGAGAGCCUGAAGAAAUGAAGCACCCGCUGAAAGAAAUCCCGAGGAUGGGGGGGCUGAGAGCACCCCGGGGCUGUGCGAUGACUCGGGGGGCUGAGCAGCAGCCGCCUCCGAAAACGCGACGGCAGCCGGGCGGCGGCGCCGUAUCGGCUCCGCACAGCCGGGGGAGCCCGGCGGCGACCUAACGCCGGCCCCGACAGCCGCCUGCUCCGGAGAUCCUGGCGGCUCCCGAGCGCUCGCCGUCCCCUUACUACCCGAACCGCUCACCUGUUUGGGCUGGUCCUUACCACAAAAGGUCUCACAGCAGCCUGAAACAAAACGACACCAGGAAAACAUUAAAGAAAACCUCAAGGCUCCGUCCCCCUCCCCCCCAAAAAAACCCCGCGUACCGCUUCUCAGCCUCAGCAGCGCCAGGGCCCGACAAAGAAACAGAACUCACUCCGUCUCCCAUACAGAACCGCAGAAACUCCCCCGUGGCUCCCGGCAGCCUCCGGAGGAGCUUAAGAGGCUUUGGGGCGGGCCCCGCCCGCGGCUCCCGACGAGGCGCAGCUGCGCCCGGCCGGCCGCGGCCCCGCGGCACCUGGGAGUCGUUGCCUCGUUAGCGCAGCCGGCCUCGUUAGGGACGGCCCGGGGCUCUGACAGUUUGACGUGCGGACUCCGGAUCUGAAUUAGGGACUUAAAUUACACUUUGAAGUACAGUUUGUUACGCGCUUCUCCUCGCCGCACUGUGGGAUUCAUCGAUAAGUUAAGUAAUUGUGCCAAUUCAAACGGGUCGCUUUGCAUCCGACGCGACCGGCGCGAUAGAGCGUCUCCCCUCCGAAGAACGUUCCCGGCCUUAACGGUUUCCAGGGGCCCCCGCUGGGUGCGUCUCCGCUCCGCUUUCCACCACCCCAAUUCCGAACAAAAGAAAAAAAAAAAAGAAAAAAAAAGUUUGUUAAACCUGUAAAAUCUCUGUAUCUCAGAGAAAUCGUGACUACAGAAGGCAGUGGAAACAUGGGAGUAGUGAUGUGAUAAAUGCCCACAUGAGUUAAUGACGCAGGCAAGAAUAUCACCAACCAGAGAAUCUUGAAGCUUUGCAAACACUUCUCUACGGUGUUGCUCAGGAUUCCAUUCACGUGUCUUAUAAAUGUGGAAGACUUCCGGUACAAUUUUAGUUACGACCAGUCAUGGAGGCAGGUGCUCUGUGAACACUUCAGUGCUGAAAUUCACUUUACAUUCUUAAUUUAAAAUCCAGAAGUUUGGACUACACUCAUUUUUAUUUCUUCUGAUGGCGGAACAGUGAAUGUUUUUAUGGCACGUUGUCACAGAUACGUUUUCACAGCCAUCAGCAGCGUCAGAUGUGAAAAGAAGGCAGAUCUGAAUGUGCAGAGUGAGGUGAGAGAUCCUGGUGAGGGUACGCGAUACACCGUAACGUACUCAGGGAGAAGCUGUGGGUUGUGUCCCGUGUACGUCUCCACUGAAUUAACUCCACUUAUUUUGAUUUAUUUAUUUAUUUAUUAAGAAAAAUAAGUCUUGUUGGAACAAACGUGCAGACCUUCACUGCUCAGGAGGACUACAAACCAAAGUAAAACUAGGGGCCAGCAAAAACAUGGUGCUCCACACUCUUAAUUUAAUAAAACACAGUGGAACCCCCUGAAAUAGCGUGAAAUUCAGAAGCCUGUGGUGGGGCUGAAGCGUGGUGUGCUGGCUGGCAGAUGUUUGGAAAGGUGCUAAGAUGUAACUCUUAUUGUCCAUAGAAUUUGCUGUUAAUCACUUGCAAGAUACAAAGUGACGGCCAGCUGGAUGAAUAGGAGAAUGUAUGUGAACACCCGGAACUGACAGACCCGGCACAGUGCAUGUGGCUUGAAGUGGGCACUGAGAGAAAGCUCAGACAACAUUUAUACAUGCUAUUAACAUUCAAAUUAAUUUCCAUCAGGACACGACUUAAUUAAGCUGCUGAAGCGCCCACUAACUUUGGAUGUCGCCUAAACCUUCAGAUGGAAUCCUUGCAGGCAUUCCCGUGGGGAUCGGGAAAUUGCAGUAUGCCGGAACUACCGUUGCUGAUGUGGGGCGAGCGCUCUGAAGUGCACUUGGAGAAGGACGCAUUCAAAUACGGCAUAUAUGAAAAGUUUAAUAUUUUAGACAGCUAGAUGAAAUGCUGGGGUCUUGGUGCAUUUUGCUUUGGCGGUCCAGGCUUUUCAGCAUCUUAGGGAAAUGUUUAGAAAUGAAUUUUAUUUUCACAACUGUGGUACAAUUACAAGGCGGGGAUGUUUCAGCCUUCUCAACGAGGUGCCCUUGGUGGUGGUGGUCUGUAAAUGGCUACAGAACUGACAGAGAACUCUGCAAGCAUUUUCUUUCGUUCUGAUUUGUAGUUUUAUUUGUUUUAACAGAGGGAUAAAACCCAGCAUUGUGCAUGUCCUUGCUCUGCGGGUUGGGGAUGUAUCGUUGUUGUUGUCGUUGUUUUCCUGGGAAGUAAAACAGGGUAGGAUAUUGGAAAUAAGGGCAAGUGGAUUUAUUGCUGAGCGAGUUGUACGCUGUUUGACAGAAAAUUCCUGAACUGAUCGGUGUUGGUGGAAGUUGGGGCUGCCUCCCGAUGUUUCCUGAGCCUUCUAUUUAGUUUGGAGUUCUGGGAAGCAUUUGUGGGCUUAAUCCAUUUACGCUUUUGAUAGGUAAAUGCAAGCCAUGAGUAACGGUACAUUAUUGCUAAGAAAAGAUGAAUGGAAGAAUGGAUGUUUUAUUUUACUAUAUAUGCUGGGAAAGGUUGUUCUUUCUUUCAGAAUAUAGCCCUGCUUUUCCUCAUACAACCUAUUUACAGGAUCAGACUUCUUAACUUAUUCACUUUUUUAUUUCUGUAUUUAUUGUAAUUAAAGCCAAAGUAGACAACACUUCUUCAGUCUUCUGCAUUUACUGAGUGCCUUUAGCAAACACGCUGCAAGGCAUAGCCGUUAGAUGAGCAUUUCCAACCAUGGUGUGUAAAUGAGUUAUAAAAUACAAGCGGCUCCAUAAAACAAGAAAAUCCUGAGAUAACAAAUAAAUGGUGUCCUUCC